rnacentral:rRNA from 1 species
AAUAGAUACCCGGGUAGUCCACGCCGUAAACGAUGAGUGCUAAGUGUUAGGGGGUUUCCGCUCCUUAGUGCUGCAGCUAACGCAUUAAGCACUCCGCCUGGGGAGUACGGCCGCAAGGCUGAAACUCAAAGGAAUUGACGGGGGCCCGCACAAGCGGUGGAGCAUGUGGUUUAAUUCGAAGCAACGCGAAGAACCUUACCAGGUCUUGACAUCUCCUGACCGCCCUGGAGACAGGGUCUUCCCUUCGGGGACAGGAUGACAGGUGGUGCAUGGUUGUCGUCAGCUCGUGUCGUGAGAUGUUGGGUUAAGUCCCGCAACGAGCGCAACCCUUGUCCUUAGUUGCCAGCAUUCAGUUGGGCACUCUAAGGAGACUGCCGGCUAAAAGUCGGAGAAAGGUGGGGAUGACGUCAAAUCAUCAUGCCCCUUAUGACCUGGGCUACACACGUGCUACAAUGGGCGGUACAGAGGGUCGCGAACCCGCGAGGGGGAGCCAAUCCCAAAAAACCGCUCUCAGUUCGGAUUGCAGG